CCUACGGGAGGCAGCAGUCGAGAAUCAUUCACAAUGGGGGAAACCCUGAUGGUGCGACGCCGCGUGGGGGAAUGCAGGUCUUCGGAUUGUAAACCCCUGUCAUGCGGGAGCAAAUUAAAAAGAUAGUACCACAAGAGGAAGAGACGGCUAACUCUGUGCCAGCAGCCGCGGUAAUACAGAGGUCUCAAGCGUUGUUCGGAAUCACUGGGCGUAAAGGGUGCGUAGGCUGUUUCGUAAGUCGGGUGUGAAAGGCUCGGGCUCAACCCGCGGAGGGCACAUGAUACUGCGCGACUAGAGAAAGGGUGGGGGAAGCGGAAUGUACGGUGUAGCAGUGAAAUGCGUAGAGAUC
rnacentral:rRNA from 1 species